rnacentral:rRNA from 1 species
CACCGCGGUUAUACGAGAGGUUCGAGUUGAUGAUAUGCGGCGUAAAGUGUGGUCUAUGCUACUCACACUAAAAGGAUUAAAUUGUAACAACAUUGUUAUACAUUUACGAUACCAUUAAGUUCAUUCACGAAAGUUAUCCUUAUAUUCUUGAAGCCACGAAAGCCAAGACC